rnacentral:lncRNA from 1 species
GGGGUCGGAGGACAUCACAAGACCAAGAGGCUGCAUUGUUGAUGUAACUUCCUUGCCCACCUGUGUGUUUCCCCGCCCAGGGCCCCAGUUGUUCCCUGAGGUCGGGUCCCUGGGUGAGGCAGGACCAGGUGAUGCAGGAGGGUUUGCCUGGAAACGCAGCCCCAGACGAGCAUGCCUGGCAAGCAGGGUGGUGGAAGAGGCCGGAGGGCCCAGGGAAAUAAUAUGGGCCUGGAAGGCGUCAAGGAUGAAGAUCUGAGGAAGGAGAUGGCAGAAGGUGUUUGGAAUUCUUAGUGCUCCUGGGGUCGACUUACAUUUCACUUUGGCUGAGUUAUAGAAAGUAUUUAAUGGUCUGAAACUUCCCCUUGCCUGAGAUGUGAAAAAUAGCUGGAUUAUGUAUUUGUUCUUUUAAAAACUCCUUAGAAUAAAUCUCAAAUAUCCACUAUGUCAGUAUUUCCAAGAUUUUGUUUCAUUCCAUAAGUUUUUUAGAUUUUCUUCUUUUAUUUCUAAGACAACUGACUGAUGGCCUAAUAACAUUUUACAUGAAAAUAGCCAUAUUACCUAAUGCAGUGGUAGUGAAGAAAUUUCUGCACUGAAUUUCUAUGAAAAAGACUUUAAAUUCAUAAUUUUCUCAAGGUUAUUUACAUAAUCUAAUAUUCUAUGUCUACCAACAACAUUUUCUCAUAAUGCAUAGUUUAUUAGUAAAAAUACGAACAAGUCCUAGAGACGGUGUUAUUAAGUAGUUAAAAGUCUUUAUCCCUAUUAAGUAAAUGUGGUUUUAAAGCUUUUAUUAGAAGCAGAAUUUCCUAUGGUAAUAUUUGACCUAAUAACCACAUUAUUUUUUUAAAAACUUAAAAACACUCCAAUAAUAAAAUAUAAUUUUCUACACAGCAGUAUUAUCCAAAAAGGACUUAACUUUAUGCCCUUACCAUAAAUGUAAUAUAGU